UAGCAUUUAAAAGCGUGUGCUAUGCAAUAA
rnacentral:piRNA from 1 species